GACGAACGCUGGCGGCGCGCUUAACACAUGCAAGUCGAGCGAAGCGGCGGACGGGUGAGUAACACGUGAGUAACCUGCCUUAGACAUUGGGAUAGCCUCGGGAAACCGGGAUUAAUACCAAAUGGUCUAAGAUGGACUCGCGUCCCAUUAGCUAGUUGGUGAGGUAACGGCCCACCAAGGCGACGAUGGGUAGCCGGCCUGAGAGGGUAAACGGCCACAUUGGAACUGAGAAACGGUCCAAACUCGACGGGACGCAGCAGUGGGGAAUGUUGCACAAUGGAGGGAUCUCUGAUGCAGCGACGCCGCUUGAACGAAGUAAGCUUUCAAGUCGUAAAGUUCUUUUAUAUGGGAAGCGGUACCAUAAGAAAAAGCCCCGGCUAACUACGUGCCAGCAGCCGCGGUAUUC
rnacentral:rRNA from 1 species